rnacentral:misc_RNA from 1 species
AUAAAAUUCUCUUGUAUUAAAGCAAACUAUUCCAUAUUUGUUUAUUAACUAUAAUGAUGAAAAAUAAAAUAAAAGAUAAAAAAAUAAUGAAACUAAUGAAUAAUAGACAUAAUUAAUAACGUGACAGGAGGUAUGGACUUGAAUUAUUGUUCUCAAUCAAGAGCACUCAUGUCCUAUACUUGCAUCAUUGCAGGGAGUAAAUAUCUUUCUCUGAUGAUAACAGCGUAGAGGUUGGAUCAAGCUGGGAGAGCACUUCCAUUAGCAUGCUGCUCCGAAAAGACUAAUAACAA